rnacentral:lncRNA from 1 species
CGGUCGCGGUGUCACGGGGAUGUCACGGUGUUGUCACGGGGCCAGUCGUGGUGUUGUCACGGUGUUGGCGUGGGGCCGGUCGUGGUGUCACGGUGUUGGUGUGGGGCCGGUCGCGGUGUCACGGGGAUGUCACGGUGUUGUCACGGGGCCGGUCGCGUUGUCACGGUGUUGGUGUGGGGCCGGUCACGGUGUUGGUGUGGGGCCGGUCGCGGUGUCACGGGGAUGUCACAGUGUUGUCACGGGGCCAGUCAUGGUGUUGUCACGGUGUUGGCGUGGGGCCGGUCGCGGUGUCACGGUGUUGUCACAGUGUUGUCACGGGGCCAGUCGUGGUGUCACGGUGUUGGCGUGGGGCCGGUCAUGGUGU